UCUGGUACAGAUGUAAACCCAGCUAUUCUGAAGGCUGAGGCAGGAGGAGAUUCGGAGCAACAGAAGGAGGACAAGACCAGAAGCAAAAGGAGAUGUCACAGGAAGGGGAGGAUCGGAGGACAAGGGCAGUGUGACCAGCUGGGUGUGAGCGCUGGCCAACCUUCCAGGUAGGAAAGACAGCCUGGCUGAAUGAAACCGGAGAUGAUGCCUAAGUCAGGACCGCAGGGGAGUGUCUGCAAGGCACUGGCCAGGAAGAGGAGCCACUAAAGUCACGAGAUUCAAACAGGACCCAGCCAGAAACAAGAACGGACAGGGAGAGCUUUAGGGAAUAAGGCUGGGGACAGGAGGAAGGAACAAGGCAGUGUCAAGAACGGCACGGCGUGCAGGCUGAGAUGAGAGGGCAGGUUUCGUGACCAGGAGCACGUGAAGACGGAAGGUCGACUGCAAAGCAUUGCCGGAAGUGAGUCAGUGGGAGGAAACGCAGUGUUCUCUGCAUGAAUGGAGGCCGUGGGUGAGUGAGCCACGCCGGUACGUGAAUGAAGAAGAGCCUUCCAGACAACACAAAUCAUACCUUACGUAAAAGAGGAUAUUUUGCUUCUGAAAUUAAGUUCACCUCCCUACUGGGUUUGUCUCCUGUAAUCACUUGACAUUUACAGUUCGGGAUUCAACUUCAUAAGCCAAAAUGAUUCUUUCUGCUCUUCGUGGUAACUACCUACAUACCGGGUGCUUUUCCUGACCACCGUAACAAAAAUCACCCCACAGUAGUGAAAAACAAAAUAUGUAAAAUGCAAUAAAUCUGAUGCAGCUUGA